rnacentral:piRNA from 1 species
CCGACUCUGCCCGGAGAAGCUGG